AGCAAUCAGCGAGACUCCGUGGGCGUAGGACCUCCGAGCCAGGUGCGGGAUGUAAUCUCGUGGUGCACCGUUUUUCUUAAGCCGGUCCGAAAAGCGCAAUAUUCGGUUGGGAGUGACCCGAUUUUCCAGAGAUGAGGUCUCACAAUAUUGCCCAGGCUGGUCUCAAGUCCCUGGACUCAAGUGACCCUCCUGCGUUGACCUCCCAAAGUGCUGUUAUUACAAGCAUGAGCCACGGUGCCCAGCCACCACCAGCCUCCUUUCACAGAGACUGAAUUUCAAUCAGCUGCUCUCAGUUGACAAUGAUAAAAUUAUCUCUAUAUGGGCAAAUGCGUGCUCUUUGUCGAAAAAGAAAGCUUCAGCUUCAUGUUCCAGGGACGGUCAAGUUGGUAUCCAUCGUGAAGCUAAAUGAAUAUCUGGACAGGAGUCAGACAAAGGGAAGGAGAAUCCAGGGGAAGAUGAAGCAGCUGCAGGCCUGUCUGCUACCCUAUAUCCGGGGAAGAGCCAGAAAUUGCUGACCAUAGAGAGUUACAUUGUCCAGCUUUUCCUCCA
rnacentral:lncRNA from 10 species